ensembl:misc_RNA Metazoa_SRP Metazoan signal recognition particle RNA
ACUGGGCAUGGUGGCGCAUGCCUGUAGUCCCAGCUACUCGGGAGGCUGAGGCAGGAGAAUCGCUUGAACCCAGGAGGCGGAGGUUGCAGUGAGCUGGGAUCAUGCCACUGCACUCCAGCCUGGGUGACAGAGUGAGACUCUGUCUCCA